GGGCGGAUGGUCGAGUGGUCUAAGACGCCAGAUUCAAGUCCUGGUCUCGAAAGAGGCGUGGGUUCGAGUCCCACUCCGCUCA
rnacentral:tRNA from 1 species